rnacentral:rRNA from 1 species
UCAACUGAGAAUCCCUUAGUAACGGCGAGUGAACAGGGACCAGCUCAUCGGGAAGAGAAGUGGCAACAUUUCUCGGUGUCCGGUUGGGGUUGAGACUAAACUGGUUUUACUUGACUGGAUGUCUAUUGGAAAAUAGCAUCAGAGAGGGUGAAAAUCCUGUAACAGUCCGGUUUAACUAGUUAAAGGUCCAACCUAAUGAGUAGAGUUGUUUGAAAUUGCAACUCGAAGCUGGAGAUAUGUCUCUCCAAAAGCUAAUUAUAAAGUGAGACCGAUAGCAAACAAGUACCGUGAGGGAAAGUUGAAAAGCACUCUGAAGAGAGAGUGAAAAGUACGUGAAACUGUUGAAGGAGAACUGAAGAGAACGUUAUCAUGCCCAAUGCCUUGAACAAGUGUCUCGGCCAACGGGUAGAGUUGUUGUAGUCGUUUGGCAUAGUUAAAGCAUACAAGCAUCUGUACUUCUUCGGAAGACGCAGAAUGUUGUCAAUCUUGACAAGAGAUUAAUUUAUCUCUUUUGCCUGUCUGACAUCAACAUCCCAUUCAAUGUUCUUUCCAGCCCGUCUUGAAACACGGACCAAGGAGUGUGAGUUACUUGCGAGUGUUGGCGCUCAUUGAAAGCGUAAACGCGAAAUGAAAGUGAAUGGUGUAACUUUUCUGAGUUGCACUACUUUUGUGGUGACAGCGCCAAUUCGGUGUCUCGCAACCACGGGCGGUUUUGCUGUAAAUGCAUAACUGCUCUAGAGCAAGUAGCACACGACCCGAAAGAUGGUGAACUAUGCUUGGGCAGGGUGAAGCCACGGGAAACCAUGGUGGAAGCCCGAAACGGUUCUGACGUGCAAAUCGAUCGUCUGACCUGAGCAUAGGGGCGAAAGACUAAUCGAACCAUCUAGUUGCUGGUUCCCUCUGAAGUUUCCCUCAGGAUAGCUAAAGCUUGAAUAAAAUGAAGAAAUUCAUUUUAGCAAUUUCAUCGGAUAAAGCGAAUGAUUAGAGGAAUGGGGAAAAUCUUUUUCUUCACCUAUUCUCAAACUUUAAAUCGGUGAGAUGUCCUUGUAACUUGAUUGUACUUGGACUUUGAAUGCAAGCUUUUAGUGGGCCGCUUUUGGUAAGCAGAACCGGCGAUGUGGGAUGAACCAAAAGUUGGGUUAAGGCGCCUAACUACUUGCUCAUGAGCAACCAGAAAAGGUGUUGAUUGAUAUUGACAGCAGGACGGUGGCCAUGGAAGUCGGAAUCCGCUAAGGAGUGUGUAACAACUCACCUGCCGAAUCAAUCAGCCCUGAAAAUGGAUGGCACUAGAGCUCGUGGCCUAUACCCAACCGUGAACAUCAAUGUCUGACUUCAUUGUUAGAAUUGAAUAAAAAGUAGCUCUUAAUUGAGUUGCUUAAAGAAUGUUCACGAGUAAGAGGGCGCAUUGGUUGCACUAAAGUACGCGCGUGAGCGUGUGCUCGAAGCGGCCAAUGGAGCAGAUCUUGGUGGAAGUAGCAAGUACUCAAAUGAGAACUUUGAGGACUGAAGCGGGAAAGGCUUUCAUGUGAACAGCAUUUGUACAUGAGUUAGUCGAUUCUAAAAGACAGGCUAAUGCCGUAGUCUUGAAUAGUGGUUUCUUGUAAACUACUGUGUCUCGAAAGAGCAUCGGGUUAAAAUUCCCGAACUAAUUCUAUCGGCUAUAACGACGGUAACGUCAGUGAUAUCCAAUUUGUCAGUGAGACCUUGGCGAAGAGUUAUCUUUUCUUUAUAACACAUAGUAGAGUCCUUGGAAUUGAUUCAAUCAGAGAUAAGGCUCGAACUGUGCAAGAGCACAGCAGCAUUUGCUGUGUGCCAAUUGUUCACACUGACACUCCCGAAAGAUGGUGAACUAUGCCAGUAGAAUUAAUCGUACCGAUUACCGCAUCAGGUCCCCAAGGUGAAAAGCCUCUAGUCUUGGAACAGUGUAGAUAAGGGAAGUCGGCAAAAUAGAUCCGUACCUUUGUGGAAAGGAUUGGCUCUGAGGGAUGGGUGUAGCAAGCCUUUGGUUUGACGCAGCGGUCUGGCUAAAGCGCAUGAUAGCUCUCGGGCUGUUGGCGUUUGGUGAGAUUGUUUGUUGAUAUGCCUUAGGUAUCUUCUGUUACACAAUAAACAUCCAAACUCUGAACUGGCUCGGACAAGGGGAAUCCGACUGUUUAAUUAAAACAAAGCAUUGCGAUGGCUGUAAAACAGUGUUGACGCAAUGUGAUUUCUGCCCAGUGCUCUGAAUGUCAAAGUGAAGAAAUUCAAAUAAGCGCGGGUAAACGGCGGGAGUAACUAUGACUCUCUUAAGGUAGCCAAAUGCCUCGUCAUCUAAUUAGUGACGCGCAUGAAUGGAUUAACGAGAUUCCUACUGUCCCUAUCUACUAUCCAGCGAAACCACAGCUUUGGGAACGGGCAAAGCAUAAUCAUUGGGGAAAGAAGACCCUGUUGAGCUUGACUCUAGUCUGAUUUUGUGAAGUGGCUCGAAAGGUGUAGAAUAAGUGGGAGGCACUUCGGUGCCGACAAUGAAAUACCACUACUUCCGGUGUCACUUUACUAAUCCAGUGGAAAAGUAAAGGUACCAUUCUGUUGAAUGGGCCUAAUUUCGGGGAAAGAUUGCAAAAGUUGCACGCUGUAUUCGUACGGUGAUGUAGCUAAAUUGAACUCGCCUGGAGACAGAAUCAGGUGGGGAGUUUGACUGGGGCGGUACAUCUGUAAAAAGAUAACGCAGGUGUCCUAAGGCUGACUCAGUGGGGACGAAA